rnacentral:rRNA from 1 species
AAUGAACGCUGGCGGCAUGCCUAACACAUGCAAGUCGAACGAAGCCUUCGGGCUUAGUGGCGCACGGGUGCGUAACGCGUGGGAAUCUGCCCUUGGGUUCGGAAUAACUCUCCGAAAGGAGUGCUAAUACCGGAUGAUGUCGAAAGACCAAAGAUUUAUCGCCCAGGGAUGAGCCCGCGUAGGAUUAGCUAGUUGGUGAGGUAAAAGCUCACCAAGGCGACGAUCCUUAGCUGGUCUGAGAGGAUGAUCAGCCACACUGGGACUGAGACACGGCCCAGACUCCUACGGGAGGCAGCAGUGGGGAAUAUUGGACAAUGGGCGAAAGCCUGAUCAGCAAUGCCGCGUGAGUGAUGAAGGCCUUAGGGUUGUAAAGCUCUUCUACCCGGGAUGAUAAUGACAGUACCGGGAGAAUAAGCCCCGGCUAACUCCGUGCCAGCCGCCGCGGUAA